CCUAAAAAGCUUUCAGAUUUCAUUUUGUUAAAAUUUUGCAGUGAAUAAUUAAAAAAAAUAUUGAAUUUUUUGCAUAUAUUUGUGGAAAAAUUGUGAGUUUUAAUAGUGCAGCAUGUAAAAUAGAUUGAUGUUCAAUUAUUCAAUUAGUGCACUUUAUUCUUAUUUUCAUAACCAAAGCUAGCGGAAUGUGGAGUGCGCAGUAUGUCCGAUGUGCAGAAAUAGAUCGUACUCGCGUAAAAAUCCAUGCAUCGUCACAGUAAUUUUACUUAAACGUAAACUGUCGCGCAAUAAGGUACAGCAAUGGUAAAACCUACAUUCAUCGGUUAAUAGCCAGCACUGGGUGUGAACAAGGUGAAAUAAGGUGACUUCGCCGAGCAGAUUAGGAUGGCAACAUAGAAAGAGUAGGCAGGUCCUAGGUAGGUAGGUUCUGGACUGGAUGUAUACGAGUCUAAGCGAUUUAACAAAUGUAGGUAUGUAAAAUGUAGAGACGUAUUGAUAAUAAUAGAAAUAACGUAAUAUAAUUUUGUUACAAUUGUAGGUAAAUGUAUGCCGUUGGUAACAUUUCUUCCUCUAUCAAUUAGUACAUUAAAAAUCUUGUUUUUUGACACACUUGAUUAGACAUUUAAAUAAAACUACUUUUACGGAUUUUAUCGCGGUUAUAUUAAUAUUAUUUAAUCCCGAUGUUUCAGAUCCUUUACAGCACCCAUGGUCACGGGCAGACAGGUCACAGGAUCAAGACGACCAACACCUUAGUCCCUACACUCUCUGCACCGUGAUAAAAUCAUUAAAAGUAGUUUUAUUAAACAUCUUGUUAUUUUGUCCUGGAUACUUCCAACACGAGUAUUAAAGUUUAGAUCUUACAUUAUCUGUA